UACGGAGGGUGCAAGCGUUAUCCGGAUUUACUGGGUUUAAAGGGUGCGUAGGUGGGUUGGUAAGUCAGUGGUGAAAUCUUCGAGCUUAACUCGGAAACUGCCAUUGAUACUAUCAAUCUUGAAUAUCCUGGAGGUAAGCGGAAUAUGUCAUGUAGCGGUGAAAUGCUUAGAUAUGACAUAGAACACCAAUUGCGAAGGCAGCUCGCUACACGAAUAUUGACUCUGAGGCACGAAAGCGUGGGGAUCAAAACAGG
rnacentral:rRNA from 1 species